UCCUCAUUGUACAUGCUGUGUGUAACUACUUCUCUUACACAGCGCAUGCAAUGUGGAUA
rnacentral:pre_miRNA from 1 species